rnacentral:rRNA from 1 species
CACGGGGGGAGCAAGCGUUGUUCGGAAUCACUGGGCGUAAAGGGCGUGUAGGCGGUUUGGUAAGGGAGAUGUGAAAUGCUUCGGCUCACCCGAAGACCUGCAUCUCAAACUGCCGGACUAGAGUAUGGGAGAGGACAAGGGAAUUCCUGGUGUAGCGGUGAAAUGCGUAGAUAUCAGGAGGAACACCGGUGGCGAAAGCGCUUGUCUGGCCCAAUACUGACGCUGAGGCGCGAAAGCUAGGGGAGCAAACGGG